rnacentral:rRNA from 1 species
CACGAAGGGGGCUAGCGUUGUUCGGAAUUACUGGGCGUAAAGCGCACGUAGGCGGCCUAUUAAGUCAGGGGUGAAAUCCCGGGGCUCAACCCCGGAACUGCCUUUGAUACUGGUAGUCUCGAGUCCGGAAGAGGUGAGUGGAAUUCCGAGUGUAGAGGUGAAAUUCGUAGAUAUUCGGAGGAACACCAGUGGCGAAGGCGGCUCACUGGUCCGGUACUGACGCUGAGGUGCGAAAGCGUGGGGAGCAAACAGG